AGGGUUUGAUUAUGGCUCAGGAUGAACGCUAGCUACAGGCUUAACACAUGCAAGUCGAGGGGAAACGACAGUAAAGCUUGCUUUAUUGGGCGUCGACCGGCGCACGGGUGCGUAACGCGUAUCCAACCUGCCCCCAACUCCGGAAUAGUCCCCCGAAAGGGGGGUUAACGCCGGAUGCUGCAAUUUUUCCGCAUGGUGGAAUUGCGAAAUGAAAAAGGUUGGGGCUGGGGAUGCGUCCCAUUAGGUAGUAGGCGGGGUAACGGCCCACCUAGCCGACGAUGGGUAGGGGUUCUGAGAGGAAGGUCCCCCACAUUGGAACUGAGACACGGUCCAA
rnacentral:rRNA from 1 species